CCCCGAGAUGAGUUCUCCCUGAGACUUUAGGUCUCCUGAAGGAACGUUGAAGACGACGACGUUGAUAGGCCGGGUGUGUAAGCGCAGCGAUGCGUUGAGCUAACCGGUACUAAUGAACCGUGAGGCUUAACCUUACAACGCCGAAG
rnacentral:rRNA from 3 species